ensembl:lncRNA novel transcript
UCGUUCGCGCCCGCCACCUGAGGUCCCGCGAUCGGGCCGCCGGGCCGUACGCAGUAGACCAGGCAGAGCGGGGUGCGCGCCGCCCGUGCCAGGCAGUAGAGCUCGUAACGGAAACCUUUGAUGUAGUUAAGCGAGUCCAGGAUGACCACGUCGUGGCGACUCAGGCGCCGUUCCACGGAGGCUCGCAGAGCUCCACGCAAUGCCUUCUCACGGGCAGAAUCGCCGUACACCGCUGGGUCCUCUGCGCCCAGGACAGCUGCGUCGUCCACCACGUACACCGCGCGGCCCUCGGCAGCCAGCGCCACGCGCAACUCUUCAGCACGCCGGCUCUUGCCGCUGUACGGCAGCCCGCAAAACACCACGAGCGGCAUCCUCUCAGGGAGCGACCAUUGGCAACCGCGCUGCGCCAACUUCCGGGUUGUACGCGUCUCCGACCAUGGGAUGCUGUCACUUGCCUAAGGCUCAAGAUUUGACUCUGAAGAGUGAGUGAUUGAGAAUGAAAUUGAGAGGAUGCCCAGGAGAACUGCAAGGUGUCUAACAUGAUCACCAUCACUCUAUUGGUCAAUAUCUAAACUCAGGCAACUGAAUCCUGCUUUGGCAAGAUGCCCAACCAGACAGUCUGAAGGGAUAUACACCUACAAAACAAUGAAAUCCUAGAUAAAAUGGACUUUCAGAAUGUGCUCACUAGACUCAGUAAUGACAGAACCCUCCAUAAACACAAAGCAAGCUAAAACCUAUGAGCAACAAGCAAGUGAGGCUGCC